rnacentral:rRNA from 1 species
AACGAACGCUGGCGGCGUGCCUAACACAUGCAAGUCGAACGGGAAAGCCCGCAAGGGUGAGUACAGUGGCGCACGGGUGCGUAACACGUGGGUAAUCUGCCCAGAAGCCCGGAAUAACUCCCCGAAAGGGGUGCUAAUGCCGGAUGAGACCACGGGGACUCCGGUUCCUGGGGGAAAAGGUGGCCUCUGUAUACAAGCUAUCACUUCUGGAUGAGCCCGCGGCCCAUCAGCUAGUUGGCGGGGUAAUGGCCCACCAAGGCUACGACGGGUAGCUGGUCUGAGAGGACGAUCAGCCACACUGGAACUGAGACACGGUCCAGACUCCUACGGGAGGCAGCAGUGGGGAAUCUUGCGCAAUGGGCGAAAGCCUGACGCAGCAACGCCGCGUGUGUGAUGAAGGUCUUCGGAUCGUAAAGCACUGUCGGGAGGGACGAAUAAGGGCCGGGUGAACAAUCCGGCUCGACGACGGUACCUCCAGAGGAAGCACCGGCUAACUCUGUGCCAGCAGCCGCGGUAAUACAGAGGGUGCUAGCGUUGUUCGGAAUUAUUGGGCGUAAAGCGCGUGUAGGCGGCCGGCCAAGUCGGAUGUGAAAGCCCUCGGCUUAACCGAGGAAGUGCGUUCGAUACUAGCUGGCUUGAGUACCGGAGAGGGUGGUGGAAUUCCCGGUGUAGAGGUGAAAUUCGUAGAUAUCGGGAGGAACACCAGCGGCGAAGGCGACCA